rnacentral:lncRNA from 1 species
CCAAGGGCUGAAGAAAUCCAAUACCUUGGCCUGCUGGGAAGCUCGCAGCCAAAAAUGUCCUAAGAACUCCCGGAGGGCCAAGGGCCCUACACUCAAGAAACCUGCAAUUACUGGUCUUGUCUGCCUACAGCCGGCACAGAAAAACACAGUCAGCAGAGAUCAGCACUCCCAGAACUUUUUGUCUAUCUAUGAUUUCUAGCUGGGCAAAGGAAAAGAAGUCCAGCUGUUUAGUAGCAAGAGGCUGCUAUCAUUGUAUCCUUUACUGUAUUAAUUAGAAAUGAUGGCACAGAGAUGUAGCCUCUUGUAAAGUCCCACAGCACACAGGGGGUUGAAUUAGAACUAUAAGCAGGAAGCUGGCCUCCCCGGCCAGAGCUCUGAUUCUUUCCUUCUUAAACUCCUGGUCAAAUGGAGUGACCACAGACGCCAGUGCUGUGCACUGUGGGUGACCCUGAGCAAGUACUUAGCACAGCACAUGAACUAUUAUUACAGUUGACAUUGAAUAAGGACUUAUAUGUUAUUCGGGUUUCGUUUUGCGUUAAGACCAGAGAUAUUUUAUGUCGAUGAAAUAAUACAACUACCCAAACCACCCAACGAAACCGGGUAGACUCUGGAGGAAUACAAAUCUAUAGUAACUCAUGCCGGUGAGCUCACCGCACAAGAGUUAACAGCGAGGCACGCUCUAAAGGAUCCUCGCGUCCGAGCUGCAGGUCCCCAGGCCACAGGGAAGCACCAUUUUCAGUCCGAACUCCCUCUGAGACGGUUCUGCCUGAAGCCUGCCCUUCGGAUGGGGACCUGGCCUCCUUUUCAGGAGAGCGCGGCUCUUGCCAUUUGAAGACGUUUAGUUUUUCAAAGUUGUUUUGCAGUCGCCAAGAUGACCGAUUACUGGCUUAAAAGUUGCUAAAAUAAUCCAGCCCGGUUCGUGACCCUGUAAACCCUGCCGGGGAAGGGCCCGCCUGCCUCCCCCAGUCCAGCGGUGAGCAAAGGCGGCCCGAGACUCCCGGCCCCGCCGCCCGUGGUGCUCGACCCUGAUACCCGCCGCACGCCCGCCGCCCACCUGCCAGGGAAAGGAGGGCAGCGCGCGAGCCGCCAGGAAGCGGCGCUCGAAACUCUGCAGCAGAGACGUGGCCCCCUCGUGGUCCUCAGGCGCCAUCGCGGGGCAGGGCCAGGGUUGCCUGGAAACGGGCGGAAGCGAGGCCUGAGACGGAGGAGGCGUGGCAACUAGGAGGUGCCAUGCCUUGAAAUCCAUGAACAGAGAAUGACAGAGUGUGUGUGCACGUGUGCGGAUGAUAAGGGAAGCCCAUGAAGUAAUGUAUGAAACACCCUAGUUGUAAUUGGCUGAAUUUAGUUUAAAAACCCCUGGUCUGGCACGGCAACUCAUUCACCCCUGGGCCCAAUGGAGAUGUGUAGUGUUGAGAGAUGACUCCACACAGACGCCCAAAUGGACACUACUGCCCAGACGAGACAAACCUGCAUCGCUGAGGUCUAGCUCCAGCGGAAUCCAAAAUCAGCAGGAAGGAGUCUAGAACCUUAUCUGAGCGCAUCAAGCCAGCCAGAUCAGAGGACCUCUCUCAAGGGUAGAAUGGAAUCCCCUUCUCCCUGAACCAAAGAAGGUUUCGCAGAACAGGUGCCCUAGCUAUGCUGGACAAAAGGAUUCUCCAUCGAUCGGUGCAGCCCCUGAAGAUGCGGCUUCAGCCAGGACUGUUUGCACCACACACACAGAGGCCAAGUGCAGAUGACCCCAAGGCCAGUUCUUCCUGGGCCAGAGAGUCAACUCCUCACUCCCAAGCUCGGGGGCAGUGACAAUGGUUACAGUCAGAGGCUGAGGAAUUCUGACACCUGGGUUCUCAGAUGCUGCCAGAGGCUGUGGAAUUUUGACUUCUCAGACAUAAGACCUUCUACUCAAGGUCAAGAGCCACAGGUCUGACACUGCAGGUCUGCAUAGCAGCUGGAAGACCUGUAGAGUGAAGAGUCCUGGGCUUGGGAGAUGGCUCGGUGGGUAAAGGUCUUACCAUGGAAACAUGAGGACCCCAGGAAUGCUGGGCAUAACAGCGAUUUCUGUAAUUCCAUCACUCCUGUGUUGAGAUGGAUGGUAGAGACAGGAGAAUUCUUUGAAGCCCAUGGGCUGGCUGGCUUCAUAUAUGCAGCACUGAAUAUGAGGGACUUUGCCUUGAACAUGGUGGGAGGUGAGGACUGAGAGCUAACAUUGUCCUUUGACAUCUACAUCAGUGACAAGACACAACAGCACACGAUAAAAAAACAAAACAGAUGGAUCUGGAGAGAUGGCUCAGUGGUUAGAAGCACCACUGACCUUGCAGGAGACUCAAGUUUGGCUCCCAGCUCACAAAUGCCUGUAACUCCAGGGGCUCAGAUGCCCUCUUCUUGUUAUUAGACGCGUUCUCACGACCGGCCAGGAAAGACGCAACAAACCAGAAUCUUCUGCGGCAAAGCUUUAUUGCUUACAUCUUCAGGAGCCAGAGUGCAAGAGAGCAAGCAAGGAAAUGGCGAAACCCCAUCCCUUUUUAAGGAGAAUUAUCCUCCACCUAGGACGUAUUACUCCCUGAUUAGCUGCAGCCCAUCGGCCCAGUUGUCAUCACGGGAAAGGCAGAACACAUGGUGGGAAAACUGCCCCUGCAUGUGUGCAGACUAUGUUUACCACUUAGAACACAGCUGUCAGUGCCAUCUUAUAAUGGCAAAUGUGAGGGCGGCUCCUCACAUCUUCUGGUUCUCUGGACACCUGCAAUGUGCCCCUAGUGCAUGUGUGCGUGCACACACACACACACACACACACACACACACACACACACCAGUUAGUUUUAAAAUGCCUCAGCUAGCUCAAAGUCUGGGCAGUUCUAAUCCUCCCCUUGGCUAGUACACAUUUUCCUCCUAUAAUUCUGGCUUAACGCCCUCUAGUUCUAUAUUUUAUUUUUGUUGCCCUGGUUCCUUCUGGGUGGCUCCCUAGUCUUUGCUGCACAAGAUGCUUCUGGAUAGCCUUUCCAGGGGCCCAUAUUCCUUCUCACCUACAUUUCGGAUAGUUUUUCCUUCUGCAGCUCUAUAUCCGAUCCAUCUCCCUCUGAAUUAUGGCAAUUCUCUGUUUUCCCUUCUCUCAGUUGCUAGCCCAUGCAAAUCUAAAGGUCCUGCUUCAGUCUGCCUUCCCAACCACUGGUCAUUGUCUCUUUAUUGACCAAUCAAAAGCCAGUUGGGGACAAGAACCUUCAGCAUUUGGACAUGCAGAUUCCCAAUUUUGAGGGCUGGAUUAAUUGGAAGCCUUGGAACCAAUCCCCAGCAUCAUCUUUUCUGUCCAAAUUUUAAAAAAGGCUCUUCUGUCAGACAUAAAUUGAGCAUAACCAUAACAGUUAUGUAAAUUACAAAGUACGAUAUGCAAUUAACAUCCAGUCUGUCAUAUUUGGCAAUUUAGAUAAAGUAUUCUAUUAUCUAUCUUAGCUUAAUGAGUUACAAUUCUGUACCUAAAUCAUGUUUGAUUUCAACUUGUAUUACCAUCUGAAAACCGUCUUUUGAAUCUAGAACACCUUUAAUGCUAAACAGCUUACGUUCAAUUGUGAGGUUAUAAUUAGUCUUCAACCUCGUCAGUCAGAGAUUUGAUAAGGAAUUAAAUAUUACCUGAGUAUGUAGGAAGAACACAGACGCAGCUUCCAAAACCUUUUCUUCCCUGUUCAAAACGAUACCAUCUCCAAGUUAUCCCUUAAAAUGACAGCCCAUCUAUAAUUUGUAAAAUAAUCAUAACCAGACACUCAAACGCAAGGAAUCAGACUGAUGACGCCCAUGGCUUCCUCCUGCCGGAUAGGGAUGAUAAGAAAUUCUUUAAAGGGGUGGGGAGGGGAAGGAAGAUUAGAAAAAGUGCUAGGCUUAAGACAGGUAGAUUUAGCAUCUGUUACCCAUUUUCUGUUCAGGGCUGAACUGAGGUUCUGACUGGGUCCGUCUGAAAGGCUGGAUGAACCAAAUCCACAGGGAAUCAGUGGCAUCCCUGAGGCUGUUCUAGAAGUGAGGCUCUGGAAGCACCAGGAAGCAGGGGGCCGGAGCGGCAGGUCAGCUCAGUGUCCCAGCAGAUGAAUCAGGGUCGUACAAUCUGCAACGUAUGAAUCACAAGCAGAAUUUCUGUACUAUUAAGAUAUUCGUAUCCAUUGUGCAGGGUGCACAGAUCAGUUAAGGAUGAAAUCUGUUCCUUGUUUGAGCAGGUAAAAGACAAUUGUCUUUUUUAUGAAUUAUUUUUAACAAUAACCAAUUGUGUGAUAAAUCUCCAUUCAUGAUAUAUGAAGGAGGGCAUGAAAAAUCUUAAGGAUUCCAUAACCAACAAGAUUUACUGUCUAAUUUUAGCUGAAGUUUUAGUUAGAGACAUUUUUAUGUCUAAGUCAGUUACUGGACUCUUCCCAUGUUGAGGAAUCAGCAGAUCAAGUUGCCUGUCCUGUUCAAUUUUCUCGAAUUUUUCUUUGCUGUAGUCAAGAUCCUCAGAGGGUCUCUCCUGUCCUACCUGAUCCAUAUCACUGUGGAAGGGGUCCAAAGCCUCUUCCCUUUUCCCGUCAGCACAAAUGCAGAGCUUUCUCCCAGGAACUGGAAAGCGUUAAAGGUACAGCUUGACCUCUCUCGCAGAGGAGCUAUAACUGCCACACUCAUAGCCACACGAAUUUUGAUAAUUAAAGCAAUUCAAAGCAGUUAAAGCAAUCUAAACAAACAUUAACCAUUGAGACAGUGCUUCUUCACCAUCUCCUGCUUUUUGACCUAUACUUUAAGAUCAAUAUUUUACACAUCUAUGUAUAGUCAAAUCAUGCCUACUAUGGAGAGGAGCUCUGUGAGUACUUAUGAUAGUAUGUCACUUUCUCUUUAUGUAAUUCUCAAGGCCUAAGUUUCUAUUCUCUGAGAUAGGUUAGACUCCCUAUCCCUUGCUUUUUAAUCUAAUUUUUAAGGAUAGGAAACCUCAGUAUUGUCUAUGUCUACUUACUGUAUAAGUCUAUUUUCAGGCUCAAUUUUGUCAUACCAGGCUAAACAAUCACAGAAAUCUCAUGUGGACUAUGUUCAAAGAUUUUGAGAAUUUGCCCUGGCAAGACUUUUAAAUUUCUCUAAAGAAAUUUUUUUUUUUCAUUCAGUCUCCCUAACUUCUUUCCUCUGUAUACUUAAGAACAUUUAAGCAAUUACCAUUAUACUCUCUUCUAUCCUUAAAAGGAAUUAAAUACAAAUUUAUAAAAAUUUAUUUAUCUGGU